rnacentral:rRNA from 1 species
CACGCAGUAAACGAUGAUUACUAGUUGUUUGCGAUACAAUGUAAGCGACUGAGCGAAAGCAUUAAGUAAUCCACCUGGGGAGUACGUUCGCAAGAAUGAAACUCAAAGGAAUUGACGGGGGCCCGCACAAGCGGAGGAACAUGUGGUUUAAUUCGAUGAUACGCGAGGAACCUUACCCGGGCUUGAAAUGCAUCUGACGUAAUCAGAGACGGUUAUUCUCUUCGGAGCAGAUGUGUAGGUGC